rnacentral:rRNA from 1 species
GCUGGCGGCGUGCUUAACACAUGCAAGUCGAACGGUAAGGCCCUUCGGGGUACACGAGUGGCGAACGGGUGAGUAACACGUGGGUAAUCUGCCCUGCACAUCGGGAUAAGCCUGGGAAACUGGGUCUAAUACCGAAUAGGACCACGGGAUGCAUGUCCUGUGGUGGAAAGCUUUUGCGGUGUGGGAUGGGCCCGCGGCCUAUCAGCUUGUUGGUGGGGUGAUGGCCCACCAAGGCGACGACGGGUAGCCGGCCUGAGAGGGUGUCCGGCCACACUGGGACUGAGAUACGGCCCAGACUCCUACGGGAGGCAGCAGUGGGGAAUAUUGCACAAUGGGCGAAAGCCUGAUGCAGCGACGCCGCGUGGGGGAUGACGGCCUUCGGGUUGUAAACCUCUUUCACCAUCGACGAAGGUCCGGGUUUUCUCGGAUUGACGGUAGGUGGAGAAGAAGCACCGGCCAACUACGUGCCAGCAGCCGCGGUAAUAC